rnacentral:rRNA from 1 species
CGGGUGGCAGCAGUAAGGAAUAUUGGACAAUGCCCGCAAGGGUGAUCCAGCCAUGCCGCGUGCAGGAAGAAGGCCCUAUGGGUUGUAAACUGCUUUUACACCGGAGAAAACCCCCCUACGUGUAGGGGGCUGAUAGUAUGGUGAGAAUAAGCAUCGGCUAACUUCGUGCCAGCAGCCGCGGUAAGACGAAGGAUGCAAGCGUUAUCCGGAUUUAUUGGGUUUAAAGGGAGCGUAGGUGGCCUUAUAAGUCAGUGGUGAAAGCCUGUUGCUUAACAACAGAAUUGCCAUUGAUACUGUAGGGCUUGAGUAUAGUUGCUGUGGGCGGAAUAUGACAUGUAGUGGUGAAAUACUUAGAGAUGUCAUAGAACACCGAUUGCGAAGGCAGCUCACAAAACUAUAACUGACACUGAGGCUCGAAAGUGCGGGGAUCAAACAGGAUUAGAUACCCCGGU